CCCUUAGAUGUCCUGGGCCGCACGCGCGCUACACUGAUGCAUUCAACGAGUAUUUCCUUGGCCGAGAGGCCUGGGCAAUCUUUUAAACCCGCAUCGUGAUAGGGAUAGAUUAUUGCAAUUAUUAAUCUUGAACGAGGAAUUCCUAGUAAACGCAAAUCAUCAAUUUGCAUUGAUUACGUCCCUGCCCUUUGUACACACCGCCCGUCGCACCUACCGAUUGAAUGGUCCGGUGAAAUCUCGGGAUUGUGGCCAGUUCACUUUAUUGGGAGUUGGCUGCGAGAACUUGCUUAAACCUUAUCAUUUAGAGGAAGGUGAAGUCGUAACA
rnacentral:rRNA from 1 species